ACACCAGCGCCACGAGUGGGAACCACGAUUAUUGGGCCUAAAGCGUUCGUAGCCGGUUAAGUAAAUCUUUUGUGAAAUUGUUGCGCUUAACGUAACAACGUGCAGGAGACACUGCUUGACUUGGGACCGGGAGAAGCUAGAAGUAUUUUUGGGGUAGCGGUAAAAUGCUAUAAUCCUGAAAGGACUACCGAUGGCGAAGGCAUCUAGCUAGAACGGAUCCGACGGUGAGGAACGAAAGCUGGGGGAGCAAACCGGAUUAGAAACCCGAGUAGUCC
rnacentral:rRNA from 1 species